CCAGGUCUAACAACCCUUUGUAUCAGGCCUAUUCAGCUUUGGAGGCUGCGUUCUGGAGAUCUUUGAACACAGCUGGACUCUCAGAUGAGGAAACUGAAGAACAAAGAGUUUCAAUAACUUACCAACUUGCCACACCUAGUAAUUGGGAUUAACCCAGGCAGUCUGCCUCAAAGGCAGAUCAAACUGAAGUUCUCCUCAUUCUCUACUCCUCCUCACUGGAAAGCGGUAGAACAAAACUUUACUUGAAGUAGGAACACUGAUGGCGUACCUGGCACAUUCUGAAGUCUUUGGAUCCCUGUGUGAUUCUCUGAAGCUCGCAUCCGGGAGACAGAAGACCUGAGCACCAGCCCCUCCACUCCGCAGCGUGGGCAGGGACAGGACCUGUGGACUCCCCACCUCGCCCAGUGCGACUUUAUAAGCAAGAGAGCUGUAGCCAUGGAGAGACAAGGGCCUAGACGUGGAUAACAUGUAGGCAGUUUGUCUCCAGAGGGACCAGUGAGAUUAUCAGGACAGGAUUAAAAACAAAGACUCUUCAAGUUUGGCUUUCAAUUAUCUUUGGAGUAUAGAGGGCUUUCUAGAGGCCUCCAGCUGGUCCCUAAAACAGCUGUCACAAUGCAAGUAAGAUGAGUAAGUCUCUCCUAUGACAAACAUAUUGUCUAUUCUUCUCUUUCCAAAUACAUAUCACUUUCCCACCUAUAUAUAAAAGAUCCAAAUUUCCAUUUUAUUAAAAUUUGCACUGAGAAAAUGUAGCAUUUUCUAUCAUUAAGGUACUUCAGACAGUGCCUGACACCCAGAGUGAGAGCACACAUCAGAUUGUUUUGUGCCCAUGUAUUGAACUGGAGAAUGAGUAAGAGGAAAAAUACUCAUUUCAAAAUCUUAUUUCAGUGAUGCUCAAAGGAUCUCUCUUGCUUUCAGAAGUUUCAGAGUAAGAUAGGGUCCUUUCUUUUUUGUAGCUUGGAGUAGCUUUCCUGCCAACUGCCCAUGUAACCUCUGUCACUAGAAAGCUAUGCGCUGGCAAGCCGGCCUCCGCAGUUCAAGGUUGGAGAACCCUAGCCAACGCCCAAGGGCGGACAGAACCCAGGCGCCACGCAGUAUCCUCGGGCUGCUAAUUUGCUGGACACACAGAGCCCUGUUCUGUAACCUCCCCCUAGGUUGUGGGUGAGUGGAACCCAUUAACAUUUAAAAAUAUUUGCAGAAAUCAGAGGGGGGAUAAGGUAUUUCUGGAGGGCCAGUACUCAGCGCACUUUCAU